UACGUAGGGGGCAAGCGUUGUCCGGAAUCAUUGGGCGUAAAGAGCGUGUAGGCGGCCAGAAAAGUCCGCUGUGAAAACUCGAGGCUCAACUUCGAGCUGUCGGUGGAAACUUUCUGGCUAGAGUCCGGAAGAGGAGAAUGGAAUUCCUGGUGUAGCGGUGAAAUGCGCAGAUAUCAGGAAGAACACCCGUGGCGAAGGCGGUUCCCUGGGCAUUACCUGACGCUGAGGAGCGAAAGUGUGGGGAGCGAACAGG
rnacentral:rRNA from 1 species